ACAGCAGUAGCCACGGUAAUACGAAGGGGGCUAGCGUUGCUCGAAAUUACUGGGCGUAAAGCGUGCGUAGGCGGUUUGUUAAGUCUGCUGUGAAAUCCCCGGGCUCAACCUGGGAAUGGCAGUGGAUACUGGCAAGCUAGAGUGUGUCAGAGGAUGGUGGAAUUCCCGGUGUAGCGGUGAAAUGCGUAGAGAUCGGGAGGAACAUCAGUGGCGAAGGCGGCCAUCUGGGACAACACUGACGCUGAGGCACGAAAGCGUGGGGAGCAAACAGGAUUAGAUACCCGCGUAGUCCCUGUCUCUUAUAC
rnacentral:rRNA from 1 species